UACGAAGGGGGCUAGCGUUGCUCGGAAUUACUGGGCGUAAAGGGAGCGUAGGCGGGUUAUCAAGUUGGGGGUGAAAGCCCGGGGCUCAACCUCGGAAUUGCCUUCAAAACUGAUAACCUGGAGUAUGGAAGAGGUAAGUGGAACUCCGAGUGUAGAGGUGAAAUUCGUAGAUAUUCGGAAGAACACCAGUGGCGAAGGCGACUUACUGGUCCAUUACUGACGCUGAGGCUCGAAAGCGUGGGGAGCAAACAGG
rnacentral:rRNA from 2 species